rnacentral:rRNA from 1 species
UGCCAGCAGCCGCGGUAAUACGAAUGGAGCGAGCGUUGUUCGGAAUCAUUGGGCGUAAAGCGUAUGUAGGCGGACUGAUUAGUCAGACGUGAAAUCCCGAGGCUCAACCUCGGAAUUGCGUUUGAUACUGUCAGUCUAGUGUCCCGGAGGGGUUGACGGAAUUCCUAGUGUAGAGGUGAAAUUCGCAGAUAUUAGGAGGAACACCAGUGGCGUAGGCGGUCAACUGGACGGGUACAGACGCUGAGAUACGAAAGCGUGGGGAGCAAACAGGAUUAGAUA